rnacentral:rRNA from 1 species
GAUGAACGCUGGCGGCGUGCCUAAUACAUGCAAGUCGAGCGAACGGACGAGAAGCUUGCUUCUCUGAUGUUAGCGGCGGACGGGUGAGUAACACGUGGAUAACCUACCUAUAAGACUGGGAUAACUUCGGGAAACCGUAGCUAAUACCGGAUAAUAUUUUGAACCGCAUGGUUCAAAAGUGAAAGACGGUCUUGCUGUCACUUAUAGAUGGAUCCGCGCUGCAUUAGCUAGUUGGUAAGGUAACGGCUUACCAAGGCAACGAUGCAUAGCCGACCUGAGAGGGUGAUCGGCCACACUGGAACUGAGACACGGUCCAGACUCCUACGGGAGGCAGCAGUAGGGAAUCUUCCGCAAUGGGCGAAAGCCUGACGGAGCAACGCCGCGUGAGUGAUGAAGGUCUUCGGAUCGUAAAACUCUGUUAUUAGGGAAGAACAUAUGUGUAAGUAACUGUGCACAUUUUGACGGUACCUAAUCAGAAAGCCACGGCUAACUACGUG